rnacentral:rRNA from 1 species
GACGAACGCUGGCGGCGUGCCUAAUACAUGCAAGUCGAACGCUUCUUUCCUCCCGAGUGCUUGCACUCAAUUGGAAAGAGGAGUGGCGGACGGGUGAGUAACACGUGGGUAACCUACCCAUCAGAGGGGGAUAACACUUGGAAACAGGUGCUAAUACCGCAUAACAGUUUAUGCCGCAUGGCAUAAGAGUGAAAGGCGCUUUCGGGUGUCGCUGAUGGAUGGACCCGCGGUGCAUUAGCUAGUUGGUGAGGUAACGGCUCACCAAGGCCACGAUGCAUAGCCGACCUGAGAGGGUGAUCGGCCACACUGGGACUGAGACACGGCCAAGACUCCUACGGGAGGCAGCAGUAGGGAAUCUUCGGCAAUGGACGAAAGUCUGACCGAGCAACGCCGCGUGAGUGAAGAAGGUUUUCGGAUCGUAAAACUCUGUUGUUAGAGAAGAACAAGGACGUUAGUAACUGAACGUCCCCUGACGGUAUCUAACCAGAAAGCCACGGCUAACUACGUG